AUUGAACGCUGGCGGCAUGCCUUACACAUGCAAGUCGAACGGCAGCAUGGAGAGCUUGCUCUCUGAUGGCGAGUGGCGAACGGGUGAGUAAAGCAUCGGAACGUACCGUGUAGUGGGGGAUAACGUAGCGAAAGUUACGCUAAUACCGCAUACGCACUGAGGUGGAAAGCAGGGGAUCGCAAGACCUUGCGCUAUACGAGCGGCCGAUGUCAGAUUAGCUAGUUGGUAGGGUAAAGGCCUACCAAGGCGACGAUCUGUAGCGGGUCUGAGAGGAGGGUGCGCCACACUGGGAGUGAGACACGGCCCAGACUCCUACGGGAGGCAGCAGGGGGGAGUUUUGGAAAAUGGGGGCAACCCUGAUCCAGCCAUGCCGCGUGAGUGAAGAAGGCCUUCGGGUUGUAAAGCUCUUUUGGCCGGGAAGAAAUCGCACAGGCUAAUACUCUGUGUGGAUGACGGUACCGGCAUAAGAAGCACCGGCUAACUACGUGCCAGCAGCCGCCGUAACAC
rnacentral:rRNA from 1 species